GCUCCGGUUGUACCUCGCCCCUCCCCGCUGUUUCCUCCAGCCCACGGCUGCGCACUCGCACUCGGUUUCGCCCUUGGGGCUGGGCUGUUCACUGCAGCAAGGAGCAAAAGGCCCUGGGGCCGUGCUCGCCUGCUCUGCCCCACAGGCUCCCUCAGGUUUUGGUCCUAGAGAUAAUAUCUAAAGGAUAGAGAAGGAGAUGGAAAGCAGAGAGAGAGCUUGAAGGUAAUCCACAUUGCUUCAUCAAACCAGAAAACAGUUUAAACCUGGUCAGCUUCUAACUGGAAGCCACAUUUUAAGAACUUACUUCGAAGAACAGGAAAGCCUCCAAUAGAGAGAAAGAAAAGAGAAGAGAGAGACAGAGAGAGAAAGAGAGAGAGAGAGAGAGAGAGAGAGAGAGAGAGAGAGAGAGAGAGAGAGAGAAAGAGAAAGAAAUAUUAAAGAUAAUGGGACAGAACUCAGAAAGGCGAGAAAGGCAACAGCAAGAGACAGAGGAGGCCAAAUUCACUUUAUAACAAACCAUUUUCAAAAUUUCAAGCUCUGAGAUGGCCAAUUAGGAGCAGCUCCCAACGAAAGCACAGAGGGUGAGUGGACACUGCAUUUCCAGAUGGAUUUUUAUUGCACACAGACCAGGAGAUUCCCAGGUGGGGGAGCCCCAAGGGUGGCCAGUGUAGCAGGUCUCCGCACAAAAUACAUGGGUCUGGGUGCUGUUUUAGCUGGUGAUUGGAGAUCCUGGGAUGCAUUGUCACCCAUUCUACUUAUAAAAAGGAGACUGAAACAGGGAGCCAGGCCAGGAGAUUCCCUGGUGAAAAAGCACCACAAAUCUCCAGCAUGGCUGUUUCAGCCAGCACAGGGGGUUGCCACUCAGAAAAUCACACAGAUCCAGUUGCCUUUUCAACAGGUGACUGGAACACCUGGGAGAUAGAGUCACCCAUUAAACUGAAAAAUAAAAAGGGAACUGAAACAAGGAGCCAGGACAGGAGAUUCCUGCGUGAAAAAGCACCCAGUGCAGCUGUUUCAGCCAGCUCAACGGGUCUCUGAACAAAAUCUCACACAAAUCCAGGCACCUUUUCAACUGGCAACUGGGACACCUGAGAGACAGAGUCAUCCAUUCAACUGAAAAAAAAAAAAAAAAAAAAAAGGAGGUCUGAGGCAGGGAGCCAGGUGAUCAGGCUCGGCCAUUCCCACCCCACAAAAAACAGCAAUCUGAAACGCUCUGGAUUGAGAGUUUCACAGCAAGCACAGCUGAACCUGGGAUGGUCCAGCUCUGUGGGGGAGGGGCAUCUGCCUUUACAGAGAGAGUCCACCAAUACAGAGGUGGGUUGCCAUUGCAGAGGCAGUUCUAAAUAUACCUCUAUAAACAGGACUGCAGGGAAGUUCACAUGGCAGCUGGGUGGAGCCCACAGCAGCUCAGCAAGCCUCUGCAGGCAGACUGUGAAUAGGCUGCCUCCUCUCUGGGCAGGGCAGCCCCGAAAAAAGGCAGUAGCAGAACAGAAACUUAUAAAUAAAGCCCUAACUCCCUGAGACAGAGGACCUGGGGGGAAAAAAAGGUGUUUAUGAGUUCUGCUGCAGCAGACUUAAACGUACCCGCCCAGCAGCACUGAAUGGAACAAUGGAGCUCACAGCUCAGCACUGAGCUCCUAUAAAGAACAGACUGUUUCCUCAAGCAGCUCCUUGAUCCCUAUGUAUCCAAAGAGUCACCUCAUAAAGAAGAGCUCAGACUGACAUCUGGUGGGUAUCCUUCUGGGACAAAGACAGCAGAAUAAGAAACUGGCAGCAACUCUGUUUUGCAGCCACUGCAGGUGAUCCCCAGGCAAGCAGGGCCUGGAGUGGACCUCAGCAGUCCUACAGCAGAGAGACCUGACUGUUAGAAGGAAAACUAAGAAACAGAAAGAAAUAACUUUAUCAUCAACAAACUGGACGUCACCUCAGAGACCCCCAUCUGAAAGUCAACAACUACAAAAAUGACAAGUAGAUAAAUCUAAAAAGAUGGGAAGAAUUUAGUGCAAAAAGGAUGAAAACACCCAAAACCAGAAUGCCUCUCCUCCUCCAAGGGAUCACAACUCCUCACCAGCAAGGGAACAAGGCUGGAUGGAGAAUGAGGCUGAUGAAUUCACAGAAACAGACUUCAGAAGGUGGGUAAUAAGAAACUUGUCUGACCUAAAAGAACAUGUUCUAACCCAAUGCAAAUAAACUAAGACCUUAAAAAAAGAUUUGAAGAAAUGCUAAUGAGAAUAAACAGAUUAGAGAGGAAUAUAAGUGAAUUGAUGGAGCUGAAACACACAAUAUGAGAAUUUCACGAAGCAUACACAAGUUUCAACAGCUGAAUUGACCAAGCAGAAGAAAGGACAUUAGAGGUUGAAGAUCAACUCAAUGAAAUAAAACAAGAAGGCAAGAUUAGAGAAAAAAGCAUAAAAAGGAAUGAACAAAGUCUCCAAGAAAUGUGGGACUAUGUGAAGAGACCUAAUCUACAUUUGAUAGGUGUAUCCAAAUGUGAUGAAGAGAAUGAAUCCAAGCUGGAAAAUAUUCUUCAGGAUAUUAUCCAGUAAAAUUUCCCCAAUUGUCUCUUUUGAUCUUUGUUGGUUUAGAGUCUAUUUUAUCGGAGACUAGAAUUGCAACUCUUGCUUUUUUUUGCUCUCCAUUUUCUUGGUAAAUCUUCCUCCAUCCCUUUAUUUUGAACCUUUGUUCGUGUCAAGAGACAAUGAAGGACAUUACAUAAUAGUAAAUGGAUCAAUGCAACAAGAAGAGCUAACGAUCCUAAAUAUAAUUGCACCCAAUACAGGAACACCCAGAUACAUAAAGCAAGUUCUUAACGACUUACAAAGAGACUUAGACUCCCACACAAUAAUAGUGGGAGACUUUAAUACCCCACUGUCAAUAUUAGAUCAAUGAGAGAGAAAAUUAACAAGGAUAUCCAGGACUUGAACUCAGACCUGGACCAAGCAAACCUAAUAGACAUUUACAGAAUUCUCCACCCCAAAACCACAGAAUAUACAUUCUUCUCAGCACCACAUCACACCUAAAAUUGACCACAUAAUUGGAAAUAAAUCAAUCCUCAGCAAAUGCAAAAGAAUGGAAAUCAUAACAAAACAGUCUCUCAGACCACAGUGCAAUCAAGUUAGAACUCAGAAUUCAGAAACUAACUCAGAACCACACAACUUCAUGGAAAUUGAAACACUGGCUCUUGCAUGUUGACUGGAUAAGCAGUGAAAUGAAGGCAGAAAUAAAGAUACUCUUCAAAACCAAUGAGAACAAAAACACAACAUACCAGAAUCUCUGGUUUAAAUCUCUAGACACAUUUAAAGCAGUGUCUAGAGGAAAAUAUAUAGCAAUAAAUGACCACAUAAGAAGCCAGGAAAGAUCUAAAAUCGACACCCUAUCAUCAAAAUUGAAAGAGGUAGAGGGGCAAGAACAAAAAAAAAAAAAAAAAAACUCAAAACCUAGCAGAAGACAAGAAAUAACUAAUCAGAGCAGAACUGAAGGAGAUAGAGACACAAAAAAAAAACCCUUCAAAAAAUAAAUAAAUUCAGGAGCUGGUUUUUCAAAAAGAUCAACAAAAUAGACCACUAGUGAGAUUAAUAAAAAAGAAAGGAGAGAAUAAUCAAAUAGAUGCAAUAAAAAAUAAUAAAGAGGAUAUCACCACAGAUUCCACCGAAAUACAAACCAUCAUCAGAGAUUAUUACAAACAACUCUAUAAACUAGUUAACCUGGAAGAAAUGGAUAAAUUCCUGGACACUUGCAUACUCCCAAGCCUAAACCAGGAAAAAGUCAAAACCCAGAAUAGACCAAUAACAAGGGCUGAAGUUGAGGCAACAAUUAAUAGCCUACCACCCAAAAAAAGCCCAGGUCCAGAUGGGUUCACAGCCAAAUUCUACCAGACAUACAAAGAGGAGCUGAGACCAUUCCUUCUGAAACUAUUCCAAACAAUCCAAAAAAAAGGGACUCCUUCCCAAAUCAUUUUAUGAGACCAACAUCAUCCUGAUACCAAAACCCAGCAGAGACUCAACAAGAAAAGAAAAUGUCAGACCAAUAUCCAUGAAGAACAUAGAUGCAAAAAUCUUCAAUAAAAUACUGGCAAGCCAAUUGCAAUAGCACAUCAAAAAGCUUAUCCACCAUGAUCAAGUAGGCUCCAUCCCGGGGAUUCAAGGCUGGUUCAACAUACGCAAGUAUAUAAACAUAAUUCACCACAUAAACAGAACCAAACACAAAAACCACAUGAUUUUCUCAAUAGAUACUGAGAAGGCCUUUGACAAAAUUCAACAUCCCUUUAUGCUAAAAACCCUCAAUAAACUAGGUAUUGAUGAAAUGUAUCUCAAAAUAAUGAAACCUAUUUAUGACAAACCAACAGCCAAUAUCAUACUGAAUGGGCAAAAACUGGAAGCAUUCCCUUUGAAAUCUGGCACUAGAUAAGGAUGUCCUCUCUCACCACUCCUAUUCAAUAUGGUAUUGCAACUUCUAGCCAGAGCAAUUAGGCAAGAAAAAGAAAUAAAGAGCAUUCAAUUAGGAAAGGAGGAAGUCAAAUUGUCUAUUUGCAGAUCACACAAUUGUAUCUAUUAAGAAGACCCCAUCAUCUCGGACCAAAAUCUCCUUAAACUGAUAAGCAAAUUCAGGGAAGUCUCAGGAUAAAAAAAUCAAUGUGCAAAAAUCACAAACAUUCCCAUACACCAAUAAAAGACUUAAAGAGAGCCAAAUCAAGAACGAGCUGCCAUUUGCAAUUGCUACAAAGAGAAUUAAAUACCUAGGAAUACAACUAACAAAGAAUGUAAAGGACCUCUUCAUGGAGAACUACAAACCACUGCUCUACAAGAUAAGAGAGGGCACAAACAGAUGGAGAAAUAUUCCAUGUUCAUGGUUAGGAAAAACUGUGAAAAUGGCUGUACUGCCCAAAGUAAUUUAAAGAUUUAAUGCUAUCCCCAUCAAGCUAUCAAUGACCUUCUUCACAGAACUGGAAAAAACCACCUGAAACUUCAUAUGGAACCAAAAGAGAGCUUGCAGAGCCAAGUCAAUUCUAAGCAAAAAGAACAAAGCUGGAGGCAUCACACUCCCAGACUUCAAACUGUACUACAAGGCUACACUAAUCAAAACAGCAUGGUACUGAUACCAAAACAGAGAUAUAGACCAAUGGAACAGAACAGAGUCCUCGGAGGCAACACCACACAUCUACAGCCAUCUGAUGUUUGACAAAUUUAACAAAAACAAGCAAAGGGGAAGGAUUCCCUGUUUAGUAAAUGGUGUUUGGAAAACUGGCUAGCCAUGUGCAGAAAGCAGAAACUGGACUCCUUCCUGAUACUUUAGACUAAAAUUAACUCCAGAUGGAUUAAAGACCUAAACGUAAGACCUAACAUUAUAAAAACCCUAGAAGAAAAUCUAGGCAAAACCAUUCAGGACAUAGGCAUAGGCAAGGACUUCGUGACCAAAACACCAAAAGCACUGUCAACAAAAGCCAAAAUGGACAAAUGGAACCUAAUCAAGCUCCACAGCUUCUGCACAGCAAAAGAAACAGUCAUUAGAGUGAAUCGGCAACCAACAGAAUGGGAAAAAAUUUUUGCAAUCUACCCGUCUGACAAAGGGCUGAUAUCCAGAAUCUACAAAGAACUAAAACAGAUUUACAAGAAAAAAACAAACAUCCCCAUCAAAAAGUGGGCAAAGUAUAUGAACAGACACUUUACAAAAGAAGACAUAUAUGAGGCAACAAACAUAUGAAAAAAUGCUCAUCAUCACUGGUCAUUAGAGAAAUGCAAAUCUAAACUACAUUGACAUACCAUUUUAUACAAGUUAGAAAGGCAACCAUUAAAAAAAUCUGGAGACAACAGAUGCUGGAGAGGAUGUGGAGAAAUAGGAACACUUUUACACUGUUGGUGGGAGUGUAAAUUAGUUCAACCAUUGUGGAAGACAGUGUGGCGAUUCCUCAAGGACCUAGAAAUAGAAAUACCAUUUGACCCAGCAAUCCCAUUACUGGGUAUGUAUCCAAAGAAUUAUAAAUUGUUCUACUAUAAGGACACAUGCACAUGAAUGUUUACUGCAGCACUGUUUACAAUAGCAAAGACUUGGAACCAACCCAAAUGCUCAUUAAUGAUAGACUGGACAGGGAAAAUGUGGCAUAUAUACACCAUGGAAUACUAUGCAGCCAUAAAAAAACAAUGAGUUCGUGUCCUUUGUAGGGACAUGGAUGAAACUGGAAACCAUCACUCUCAACAAAGUGACACAAGAACAGAAAAUCAAACUCCACAUGUUCUCACUCAUAGGUGGGUGUUGAACAAUGAGAACAUAUGGGCACAGGGAGGGGAGCACUACA